GACGAACGCUGGCGGCGUGCUUAACACAUGCAAGUCGAACGGAAAGGCCCUGCUUUCUUGGUCUGCCCGGGUGGCGAACGCGUGAGUAACACGUGAGUAACCUGACCUUGACUUUCGGAUAACUUCAGGAAACUGGGGCUAAUACCGUAUCGGAGCUCCCGCUGCAUUGUGGGGGUUGGAAAGUCUCUGCCGUUGGGGAUGGACUCGCGGCUUAUCAGCUUGUUGGUGGGGUAGUGGCUUACCAAGGCUUUGACGGGUAGCCGGCCUGAGAGGGUGACCGGCGACAUGGCGACUGAGAGAGGGACCAGAGGCGUAUGGGAGGCAGCGGUGGGAAGUAUGGCACAACGGGCGGAAGCGUGAUGAAGCAACGCCGCGUGUGGGAUGACGGCCUUCUGGGUGUAAACCGCUUUCGCCUGAGACGAAGCGGGAGUGACGGUAAUGAGUGAAGAAGCACCGGCUAACUACGUG
rnacentral:rRNA from 1 species